AGAGUUUGAUCCUGGCUCAGGAUGAACGCUGGCGGCGUGCCUAAUACAUGCAAGUCGAACGCUUUGUGGUCCAACUGAUUUGAAGAGCUUGCUCAGAUAUGACGAUGGACAUUGCAAAGAGUGGCGAACGGGUGAGUAACACGUGGGAAACCUACCUCUUAGCAGGGGAUAACACUUGGAAACAAGUGCUAAUACCGUAUAACACUAAUAACCGCAUGGUUAUUAGUUAAAAGAUGGUCUUGCUAUCACUAAGAGAUGGUCCCGCGGUGUAUUAGCUAGUUGGUAAGGUAAUGGCUUACCAAGGCAAUGAUACAUAGCCGAGUUGAGAGACUGAUCGGCCACAAUGGGACUGAGACACGGCCCAUACUCCUACGGGAGGCAGCAGUAGGGAAUCUUCCACAAUGGACGAAAGUCUGAUGGAGCAACGCCGCGUGUGUGAUGAAGGGUUUCGGCUCGUAAAACACUGUUGUAAGAGAAGAAUGACACUGAGAGUAACUGUUCAGUGUGUGACGGUAUCUUACCAGAAAGGAACGGCUAAAUACGUGCCAGCAGCCGCGGUAAUACGUAUGUUCCAAGCGUUAUCCGGAUUUAUUGGGCGUAAAGCGAGCGCAGACGGUUAUUUAAGUCCGAAGUGAAAGCCCACAGCUUAACUGUGGAAGUGCUUUGGAAACUGGAUAACUUGAGUGCAGUAGAGGGAGAGUGGAACUCCAUGUGUAGCGGUGAAAUGCGUAGAUAUAUGGGAAGAACACCAGUGGCGGAUGCGGCUCUCUGGACUGUAACUGACGUUGAGCUCGAAAGUGUGGUAGCAAACAGGAUUAGAUACCCUAGUAGUCCACAUCGUAAACGAUGAGUUGCUAGAUGUUUGAGGGAUUCCGCCCUUAGGUGAUCGCAGCCUAACGCAGUAAGCACUCC
rnacentral:rRNA from 1 species